AGAAACAUGGGUCCAUGAACCAUUUGCUUGUCAUGGCUGAUUCAGCUACAUACCAGAGGCUUUCACACAGGAUGGAUCAGAAGAGGUGAGCUCUUGCUGCACCUUAGGCUACUUGGCUGUCAAGGUGACUAAGUAGCCAACAACUGCUGUAGCAGUUCCCAGGAUCCCACCCAUAAUGACCUGAUGACACAGAAACAGAUAUGGUCUAACAUGAAAGCCAUCACUAUUGAUCUGAGCUGCCUCAAUUUUGCAUUAUUCGCUUACCUGUGGAGGGGUAUGACCUAGAAGUUCACGCAAGGGUCUGCUUUCAGCGAGGGGAUGCUCUGAAGGAAGUUCAUACACAAUCUGAUUGAGAACCUGGAAAUGAAACAGACCCAAAUCAGCCAAAAAUAAAAACAGAUGCUAACAAAAAAAAAGAGAAAACAAACAAAAGAAAAACCUCAGCUUGGCGUCCAGCAUGUAAUCUUACACCAGUUGCAUCACACAUAACCUGCCGCAGAAAAAAAUAAAACACAAAACCCCUAACUAUUUAAUCCUCUCCUCAAGCCUUAACCAUCAAAACUGAUAAGAAAAGUGAUUGAAUAAGCCAUACAAUGGAAGUGAGAAUGAAAGCCAUAGCGAAAAGAGAUCCUCCAAAGCCUUCUUGUAAACCAACGGCCAUAGCAAGAGCUGUAACAGUUGCUGAAUGUGAAGAAGGCAUUCCUCCAGACCCAACAAGCCGUUUCAGAUCCCAUCUCUUUUCCUUAUACCUUUUGACAAAACAUACAAACAGAGUUGUCGGUAAAAUCUCUGUCUUUGUCUAAACCAUUCUCAGAAACUACAUAUGAGUAGUAAACGUACCAGGUGGUGAAGAACUUGAUGAAUUGUGCGAUGGUGAAAGCUAAUACGGCGGAAAGCAGAGGGUAGUUCGUGAAAAUAGAGAAAUAGUGGGAAGAAAGGGAAGACGAUUCCUCCAUUAGACGAUGGUCGAUUGAUCUCAUUAGGGCUUCAAAUCAAUAACGAGAGCUCUCUACUAGAUGAAGACAUGAUCCAUAAGAGGAACCCUUUGCGUGUGGAAAAAUCUUUCUUUUUGAUCUCUCUCUAAUGGGGUCUACCCUUCAAAAUCUUUAUUUUCUUCUUCCUCGAAAUAUUCUUUCGUGUUUGUUUUCUCGCUUCUUCUUUGCAACGGUGCUAUUUAAUAUCAUUUCUCAACCUAGGAAGGAGAAAACGUAUUUAUCCGAAAUUGAAUAAUCAAAUUAUUUAUCUUAUAUAUUCUGUUUCGAAGAACAUUUGUAUUCCUAUUUUUAUAUUUAUUUUUCAGUUUUCGAGAUAAAGAAUUAAAAAUCGGCUAUGCGAUUUAAAAUUCAGGAAUCGAGUGUAUAUUCACAAAAUGUAGCAUGUGAAAUGAGGAUAUGCAUGUGUUAAAAAAAGAAAAAGGAAUGAGGAUAUGUAUAGACGUUAACUUGUAUUUAUUUAUUAAUUGAUUUGUGAUUGCGCAGAAUAUGCUUCUUUGUUUGCAAUUGUAAUAAACAAGCGUCUCUCUCUCUCUCUCUCUCUCUCUCUCUCUCUCAGGCAGUGCAUUUGGAUCCAGUUUUCCGUUUGAUCAUAUAUAAAAUGUGAUUAUAAUGAAGUGGAUGAUUUUCUAGUGCCCGGUAUCGCCUCCAAAGUUCAAUACACUGAGAAUGAUAAAUCUCUUCACAGUCAGGACAUGACACUAUGUUUCCAUUGCACAGCCUGUCAUCACAAAGAGUACAAGCCACCAUAUAUGAUCUUGAGACCAUAACUUGAACCAAGUCAUGUCCUCCUUUCAAGCAAAAUUUUCCUUCUUCGUAUCUAAUGAACUUUUGCCCCCUUUGUAAUUCUCCAAGACGCAUUUUAACGCUUACCGCGCAUUUGGUACAAAUGAUGAAAUCACAUAUGCGGCAGAAUAGAUUGAAAUAAUCUAUCUUUUCUUUGCAGGUGUCACAUCUCAUAUUAGUAACCCCUGCAGGAUAACUUGGUAGAAGUGUCAAAGGAUGAUUCAAAUGGAAUCUAUACCUCGACUGUUGACUUAGCUUUAUGCAGUUAUCAUGUGCCUCGAAACGACAUGUCUCGCAUUUCCAUAAUCUUCCAUGUAUAUACCUAUAACAGAUCCAGCAUCCUUUCUGAGACGCCGUAACAUAGCGAGACCUCAGCACAUGAUUAUGCGUAACAUCAAUAACCUACAAACAUUUACCCUAAGAAAAAUUAUUAUUUGAGGCCUCAACAAUGCUGGGAGUCCGUAGUAAUAUAAAUGUCAUACGUACGUACCACGAGUUUGUUUUCUAAUUCCUUAGUUUCACAUUUAUCAUCGUGAUCAGCUGGUGGACUUGUAAGUUUUUCACCAUGAUGAGAAUACAGAUCUUUCAAGUACAACGGGGAAGGCAUUUCCUGUGAUUCAUAAAGUAGUUAAUCAUCAUCCUUACCAUCAAUCACCAAAAGAAGAGAAAAAAUAAUAUAUAUACAUAUAUGUACCUCAUGUAGAAUGCACUCAAUGUGACUUAAAAAACCACAUUCUUCGCAGCAAUAGACAUGAUGUCCUGCGUGUACCAUUGUCUCACAAACGUCACAAUACUCCAAAGAGUCAUCUUCGGAUAAGAAUAUUUUACACAUAACUGGAUGAAUGUGAUAAGAUUUGUUGACAACUAACUCGGGUAUCUCAAGACACUUGAAAUAAGACCUCCAACCACACUCCACGCAAUGAUACAAGUAGUCCCCAUAGAACCCAUCAUCGUCAGUCAUGCACACCCGACAUCCGGUUUUAAAUCUUAGUUUAGCAUUAUUACCUAGAUAAAACAACUUGUGCUGGUGAGACUUGUGCAUCAAACCUCGCAACAAGGAAUCUGCACACCUCAAGUGAAGAUAAAAACUGCAUUCUAGGCAACUAAGCGGGGCACCUUCGACAUGGAGCCCGCACGCAUCACAGACUUUUCCACCACCACAAGUAUGUGUGAAAUCAAGGCGUGUGAGAGGGUGCGCCUGAUGCACUGGAUGUUGAAUCUCUCGAGGAAGGUCAAGGCAUCGCUCGUGAGCAAACAAGUAACAUUGAGAACAACCGUAGGAUACAGCAGAAGGAGUGAGAGGAAGCUCACACAUCAAGCAGGAGCCUCUAGCGUCUGGUCCUGGUUUACACCUCCUAAGAAAGUGCGCAUGACUGUAAUGGAGCUUUUCUUCCGCGUACCAACUCGUCUUGGUGUUGUUCAGGAUGGCGCAACCAAGAUCCAAGAAGAUCUCACAGUCUUUACACUUGUAAUAAAGGGACUGAUCAGAAAACAAAUCCCCACACCCGGAGCAGAGCUUGUAUCUCUCGUUCCCGUCUUUCUUGCCUAGACAAAACUCGAGAGGGUGGUCCGGAUGAAAAUCAUGUGACACCUUGAGUGGUAGUUUCGAGCAAGCUCUGCAGAGGUCGAAGUUACAAAGAUCACAUGCGAAUUCUAUAGGUUCGUCCUUGAAGCAGAUGUUGCAGAUGCCGUUGUCUAUGAUCUCCGGCGAGGUCAGCAGACAUUCAUGGGCGCCGUGCUUGAGCUUUACCAUCGCAGAAACCGAUUCAGAUUGACUAAUUUAGCUGUAGAGAUUCUGAGAGACCAUCAUAAAUUUAAAAGCACUCACAUUCGUUCUUUUUAAAGACCAGACAAGAAUAAUCUUUAUGGUUUCUCUCUACUGUUUCAGUCUUAUUUUACCAUUCAUACUCUGCUUUUGAGAACGACACUGACCGGGUCUGCCACAAACUCAAACUUUUCCAUUUUUUAUUUGUUUUGUAUUAUCAUUCUAUCUCUUUUUGUUUGAUUUUAAUUUAUUAAAGCUUGCAAUUCAAUCUUAUAUCUUAACCAUGAAAUAAACUUAAAGUUGAUAUGCUUAAAUACAAGUUUACCCUUAAUUAAUUAUGAAAUUGUUUAAUUAAUUUUUUUGAUUCAUUACUAAAAAAACAAACAAAUGCGAUCAAAGACAUCCGGCACCAGGCUAUUAGCAAUACAAGUAAUGGGCGUGGAUGGUAUACACUUGACUUGACUUUAUGGAAGAAAAUGUAACACAAGUCAGAAAAUAAGUAUGAGACAACACACGGGGAGGCAAAACAGCAUCAGCUGACAUGACCAGUGGAGAAGCUACAUGCACUAAAAGAGGGGUAACUACCCACCAUAACUUUUUGAUUUUUGGUGACAAGAAAUCAUGCAUGCUUCUCCCAAACUAGAAGCAUUGAAACAUAUACGUCACGGUGUUUAAAACGCAACAAUCCUGUGCAAAUGCAUAAGACUACACACCGUACACAACAAGAUAACCUAGACUAGACACCCAGAAAAAAAGAAUCGAAACAUUAGCGACUUACAUACAAAGAGAGAAUCCCAAAUACCCUGUGAGAGAUUUGGAGACAACAAUCGAACCAAAUGAUAUAAUCAGAAACGUCUUCUUGGGCUUCAUGAGAAGAAUCAAAGGUCGACAGUAAAUCAUGGUUGCAGGAAGAGAAAUAAAAAGGUUCAAUAACUGGAACAUGCUCAUGAUUCUUGAACAGAACCAUGAAAGAAGUCUGUGUGAUUAGAGAUUUCAUGAGUGGUGGAGUUUAUGAAAAAGUUUGUGUGAUUAGAGAUUUCAUAAGUGGUGGAGCUUAUGAAGAAUUAUGUUGUGUAAUUAGCAGCACAGAAAAGCAUUUGUGGUUGGAAGUCAGUGACGACUAGUUAAGAGAAGCAGACAGAUUUCUCAAACAAGACAUGAAAGAAGGAUAUUUUGAAGAUUCAUAUGGGUAAUUUCAAAAGUGUUAACCCACAAGUGGAGGAACAUCUGAUGUUGAAACUUCAAGAGAAUUUUAAUAUCAAAUGUUGAAACUUCAAAAGAAGUUUAACCUACAAGUGGAGUUACAUCUAAUGUUGAAACUUCAAGAGAAGUUUACAUAGAUAAUGGAUCGGUUUCAAAUGCUAGGAGAAGCAUAACGAAUUCCAUGGAAGAAACCAGUUUGGCCUUGGGAGUGUUCAGUGGUUGUUGUGAGAAGUCUUGUGGGUAAUUUAUUAGCGUAAGUAGGCAGAAAUCUUGACAUAAGGAUUUAAGUGUAGCAAUAUGCAAGCAUGUCUGCAACAAGAAGGACGGCUAUCUAAAGCCAUCAUUGUUGUGAAGGGUUUGUUUCAGUUUUUUCUUUUGUGAUCAGACCAGAAAAAAUAGCUAAUUUUAUGUUUGGGAUCAUUGCAAAUAAGAACACAUCGCAGCGGAAAACAAAGAUAUAAGAGAAAAUUAGUUUCUCAUGUGUAUAAGAAGCUGAAACAACAAGAAGGCUGAGAAUGGUUGUUGUAGAGACAUGUCCAGAACAGUUCCAAAGGCAAGUUCUGAAGUAUAUUGUGACUAAAGGUGAAUAACAGUUAGUUGAAAAUCACAAUUCAUUGCAAGGAGACACAAGUCAGUGUCGGAAGGAUACAUCUUCAUAACUAAAUCCAGGAUUGUCAAGUUAAGAACCAAGUUGAGGUUGGUAUUCAAACUAAUAUGGAGGUUUGUGGAGUUACUUUGAAUCCAAUUGGUAGUCUUAAUCAAAUGGAGUUCUAGCUUUUGAUGAAACCAAGAAGAUUCUUCCUCAAGAAAAAAGUUUUAUUUGGAAAAGGAGCAAAUACUCAAAUUAAGCAAGAACCAACUGAGAACAUACUUUAAUAUUGUCGGUCUAUCGAUAUUUCGUUUCAAAAAAAAUGUUUUUUUGAGAUUUGUUUUAUCACACAAAAAUGUCAUUUUAGAAUUUCAAUGUAACUUAUAUUUUUUUUAAGUUUUAUAAUAACUACAAAACACAUUGCUUUAUAAAUAAUUUUAUUUAUCUUAAAUAUUAUUAGUUAUAUAUAUGCAAUUAAUAAAAACAUAAAUUCAUUUCAUUUAUUUUUUUAAUAUGUGUAGAAAAUAUUUAAAUGACACUCUUUACAAAACAGAGAAAUUAUCUAUUGUUGAAAAAUGUCAAACAACUCAGUUGUUACUCCUUCAAUUUCUUAAAAAGUGUCACUAUGAUAUUUUUCACAUAAAGUAAAAAAUGAUUAAAAUUCAUUUAUGUUCUUAAUAUUUACACAUAUUUGACCAAUAGUAUUUGAGAUAAAUUAAUUUUUUAAUAAAAUUAAUAUAAUUUGCAGUCAAUAUUAAACUGAAAAUAAAGUUUAAUUUGCAUUAGAAUUCUAAAAUAACAUUUUUGUUUAACAAAAAAAAUGUCAAGCGACACAUUCUGAAAAAUAGUGAAAGUAUGAAACAAAGGAGUGGUGUAGAAAAUUACUGAUCUACUAAUUUCUCUGAUGAUAUCAACGAAUAAAGUCCAUUUAUUGUUUUUGGAAACUGUGCUCCACUCGGAAUAUGCGAAGAAGAAAAGGAUGAGCUUACGGUGAUGAUUGGUUCGACUGUGGCUUUAAAAAUUUAGCUGUAGAUGUUUAGCUGUAGAUAAAUUGGUUGUAGCUGUAAAGUUGUUACUGUAGACUUUUUCUGCAGAGAUUUUUGCUGUAGUUUAAUUUAUUGUAGCUGUAAGUUAUAGACUGUAAAUAUUUUAAAAUAAAAUAUAUGAAAGAUGUGUUGUAUAUAUAAAAUUAUUAUUUUAUAUGAAUUAAAAUAAUUUAUAUUAAUAUUUUGUUUAUUAAUUAUCAAAAUUUAUUGUAAUUCAAAAUGUGAUAUGUAAAUAAUAUUUAUAUUAUUUAAAUAUCUUAAUAAUUAAAAAACACUCAAAUUCAAAAUUAAAAUAUUUAUAAAUUUUUUUAUUAUGAUUAUAUAAUCUAUUUGAUAUUAUAGAUAUUUUUUUUCAUUUUACAGAUUCUACAGCCUAUAAAAAAAUAAUGUAGUAUUUUUGUCUAAAAUACAUAAGAAAAAGUUUUGCUUUAUUUUUUUUGUUGUAGCUUUAAAAAUAAAGCUAAAGUAUGAUUGGUAAAACUAAAUAAAAAUUUGAUGUAGAUUUUAAUUUUUAAAAGUAAAGCUACAUCAUGAUUGGUAAAUUUAGUGAUUUAAAAAUAAAUAAAGCUAAAGUAUGGAGAUAAAGCCCAACCAAUCACCCUCUACAUCUCUUUUAUUAAAAAGGAAAUAUUCUCUUGGAUCCAACUUUUUAUGAGAUUUUAAAUUAAAUACAUUUUUAUUAUUAAAUAAUUAUUUUCAAACAACACAAUAAUUAAUUUAUAUUCAAACAAUAUAAAACAGUAACAAAAUAUAUCAUAUAAUUAACCAAAUAAGUUACAAAGAUUUUGUUAAAAAAGCUUGAAAUAACUAUUACAUAAUAAUUUAAUAAUAGCUAUUACAUAAGAAAUAUAUAUAUAUAUAUAUAUAUAUAUAUAUAUAAAUAAUAUACAGUAAAUAUAAUAACAAAAAUAAUUAUGAAAAUAUUCAAAAUAUAUAUUAUCUAAGAUAAAUGCUUAACAUUAAUUAUAAAAAAUAAAUUCAAACUCAUUAUAAUAUGAACCAAAUUAUUAGCAAGAUAUAUUACACAAAACAGUUAUAACAAUAUUAAUUGUUAGGAUAAAUUCAUGCAUGUACGUUUAUAGUAGUACGGAACAUAAAAACAAAGUAAGGAAAAGAAGGAAAAGAGAUCAUAAAUAUUGUUCUAUUGAUUUUUAGAGCAUGAACUAUAAAAUUGAUGUACAGACCUUAGUUAUAUCCGUCUAGUUCUAAUAUUUUGUGUAUAAUGAUCAAUCUUUUUUUUUCUAGGGUUUAGACCCCUUUUGUAUAGGAAGUUCAUAGUUGGCAAUUAGAUUAGAGAGUUCCAUAAUCAGAAAUAUGGAAGAAUUUUCUUUGGUAUAAAUCUUUCAUUUUAUCCGAAAGCAUGGAUGAAGCUUAGUCUGAUCAGAAAUUUUCUCCAAACAAGAAUCAGAAAGUCGGCAUCCUCCUCAGAAGCAUGAAUAAUGUCUUCCUGAAUUAUCUAUUCCCAACAUUAAUUAUUUAAUUUGGCUAUAUAAAAUAAAUAUUACUCCCUCUAUAUAAUUUUAGUUGGUGUUUAAAGUUUUUACACAAAAAUUAAGAAAAUACAAAAUUUUAUGUAGUUUAUCUUAGUUACAUAAAAGUAACAUUAAAUAAAAUUAUUUUAACAAAUAAAAAAAUACCAUAUUUUAUAAUUGGUUACACCUUUUUAAUAACAUUAAAUUUUAUCUACAAUAGUAAGAACAUCACAUAAUAUGAAAUAAAAUUAAAAUUUCUAAACACCACUUAAAGUGAUAGGAAGGAAGUAUGUAACUAAAAUAUCUCUUACCACUUACCACUAAACAACAUUUAAUUAAUUAAACAAAAUAAUCAUUUAGUUUAUAAAAUUUGUUUUUUUGUCAACUUAUAAAAUUUGUUUAAUCGAUUUAAAAUAAAACCUAUGGCGCCACGCAGAUCAUGAUCUAAUUACAUGUUAUAACAUCAAUUUCUUUUUACUAUUACCUAUAUUAACAAACAAUAAAAACCACGUUUGAAUUCAAACUUUUGUUAAACGUGUUUUGAAACUAAUUUUGUUGAAUGUUACCGAACACUAUCGGUAUCUUCUUCAUAAUUGGUCUCACGUUCAUGGUCAGACUAUCUUUACUUUAAUUCCUCCCAGCCGUUAAUUUGUUCCGUUAGUAAUUGCGUCACUAAGAACAUCUCCAAUGUAAAACUUCAUUUUUUUCUCUAAAAUAGAGUAAAAGUGAAAAUGAAGUAAAAUUGCUCCAACCCUACUCUAUUUUCUACUCCAUAAUGGAGUGAUGAACAAACAAAAAUAGUUUACUCCAUUUAUGGAGUAAACUUCAUUAUUGAGUGAGAUAUGGAGUUGGGUUGGAGCAUUCUUUACUCCAUAUUCACUUUUACUCUAUUUUCGAGAAAAAAAUGGAGUAGAAAUGCCCGAUUACAUUCUAAAUACAAUAAUAAUAGAAGUAAACACAAAACAAUGGCUACCAACAUAGAGAGAAAGAAGGAAACUUAAAAGAGAAUGAAGAAGGCAAAUGACCGCUUCUCCUUAUAUAGUCAGCUCUCUCCGAUGUCCUCACCGACAUCUCGUUCAGCUUCGCCUCCGCAUUUGCUCUCCUCUCUUCCGCUAUCCUCUUUGUCGCCGCCAGCUUGUUCGCCGACUUCUCCUCCGCUCUCGCUUUCAUCCUCUCCGCCUUCACCUACACACACAUUCACUUCUUGAAUUUUAAGAUAAUUAUUCAUUUUUCAAAGAAAUAUUUGCUUAAAUAUUGAAUCCAAACCAACACCAAAACCGGUUUAAACCGAUCCACAAUGUAUUUGAUGAGAAUCUUACCUCCAUUUUUUUCAUCUCCAUCUCGGCCUUUCUCUUCUCGUGAUUCUCCCAAGCCUGUAUCUUCACUUCCUCUCUCUUAUACCUAACCACAUUCCAGCAAAAGUAAAACCUCAAAACACUGGUAUAUAAUGAAGCCACGUUAGCACCAAUUAAAUCAUUCAUUAACCAAUUAAUUAGUGUUAAUCACCUAGCCAUGAACUUAGCGCGUUCUGCUUCAUCCCAAGCCAUGGCUCGAGCUUCCAUAGCAUUCAUCGCCUUAGUAUUACUGUUAUCUCCUAAUCCAAUGUUUUCAUUAUUAUUACUCGCCACGCUUCUAGUCUCCGUCACCGUCGCCACCUCCGUCGCCAUCCUCACCGUCUCUCCGCAGCGAGAAGCUCUCACCGGUGACGUCACAGGACUUCUCCCGACCGGCGUUGUGGCCCGCACAGGCGUAGCUGUUCUAGAAGGCUCCUGGCUCCCGAUCGGAGUCAUCUCAGUCCCCAUGUCCCUCACGCAAACCGAUCGAAUCGCAGCCGUAGGAUUAAUACUCUCUUUCCUCCAAACCGAACCACCUGGUUCUCCACAGUCUACGUUCUUUGUCUCCACCUCCGGCCUCCCCGCCGCCGCGUCUCCGUCUUCGUAUUCAACGUACUGAUCUUCUCCUUCGCGUUCUCUCUGCGAAGCAGAAGCUAUUAGUCGAAGAUCAUCAGCGUUGGAGUUUCUCGGUUUACAGCUCCUCGAGUGGUGGUUCUUCUCUCCACCUCCGCCGCCGCCGCGAGACAAACCAACUCCGGAGAGCCAUUUCUGAGCGUCGUCCCAUUUUGACGGUGCUGGUUUCCCCAUGGUAGACCGGUGGUGGUUUGGUGUCCGGUUUGCGCCUUUCUGAAACUCAAAACCGAUAUUACCAUGUCCGUUCAUCUCUGGCGUCCCUGGUCCGAGACACCCUUUGUUAUCUUCCACCCCUUGAGAUCUCAUUCUUCUUAGGAUAAAUAAAUAAAAACAGAACACAGAGAUCUAUCUGUUCAAACUCUUACAAGAAGUCAGGAGUAAUAUAAGGUUUUAUAUAUUCAUUAAUGGAUAAAGAAGGAGAGGUGACUUCAAGAAGGGAUUAAAAGGAUAUAAGUGGAAGUGAGGAAGAUGUGGCGAAACAAUCAAAGAGUCGUCACUCUCGUAGACCCAACUUUAUGAAUGUGAGAGAUUUAGCAGAGAGUCAUUAAAUGCCAGAUGGGUUGUUGUAGAGACGAGAAUGAUAGUCUUUAUAACUCCAAUUAGUUCUGUCUUUUUUUCUAUCGAAAUGACACAAUCAUAUACCCCCAAAGAUUUUUUUUCCUUAGUUGAAAAUAGUGCAAAUGGGUUUGCUUAAUUAUAAUAAUGCUCAGAUCUGGUGUUAUCUCCUAAUCCAAUGUUUUCAUUAUUAUUACUCGCCACGCUUCUAGUCUCCGUCACCGUCGCCACCUCCGUCGCCAUCCUCACCGUCUCUCCGCAGCGAGAAGCUCUCACCGGUGACGUCACAGGACUUCUCCCGACCGGCGUUGUGGCCCGCACAGGCGUAGCUGUUCUAGAAGGCUCCUGGCUCCCGAUCGGAGUCAUCUCAGUCCCCAUGUCCCUCACGCAAACCGAUCGAAUCGCAGCCGUAGGAUUAAUACUCUCUUUCCUCCAAACCGAACCACCUGGUUCUCCACAGUCUACGUUCUUUGUCUCCACCUCCGGCCUCCCCGCCGCCGCGUCUCCGUCUUCGUAUUCAACGUACUGAUCUUCUCCUUCGCGUUCUCUCUGCGAAGCAGAAGCUAUUAGUCGAAGAUCAUCAGCGUUGGAGUUUCUCGGUUUACAGCUCCUCGAGUGGUGGUUCUUCUCUCCACCUCCGCCGCCGCCGCGAGACAAACCAACUCCGGAGAGCCAUUUCUGAGCGUCGUCCCAUUUUGACGGUGCUGGUUUCCCCAUGGUAGACCGGUGGUGGUUUGGUGUCCGGUUUGCGCCUUUCUGAAACUCAAAACCGAUAUUACCAUGUCCGUUCAUCUCUGGCGUCCCUGGUCCGAGACACCCUUUGUUAUCUUCCACCCCUUGAGAUCUCAUUCUUCUUAGGAUAAAUAAAUAAAAACAGAACACAGAGAUCUAUCUGUUCAAACUCUUACAAGAAGUCAGGAGUAAUAUAAGGUUUUAUAUAUUCAUUAAUGGAUAAAGAAGGAGAGGUGACUUCAAGAAGGGAUUAAAAGGAUAUAAGUGGAAGUGAGGAAGAUGUGGCGAAACAAUCAAAGAGUCGUCACUCUCGUAGACCCAACUUUAUGAAUGUGAGAGAUUUAGCAGAGAGUCAUUAAAUGCCAGAUGGGUUGUUGUAGAGACGAGAAUGAUAGUCUUUAUAACUCCAAUUAGUUCUGUCUUUUUUUCUAUCGAAAUGACACAAUCAUAUACCCCCAAAGAUUUUUUUUCCUUAGUUGAAAAUAGUGCAAAUGGGUUUGCUUAAUUAUAAUAAUGCUCAGAUCUGGUCCGUGAAAAUGCUUUGGUACUGACACUAGUUAUCGAAUAGUAGUACUCCAUACGGAUGUGCUUUACUAAUAAAAAUCAUAAAAAAAUAUUUUUGCGAACUAUAUUUCUAAAAACAUCUAUUUUAAAAAACUAAAACGAAUAUCAAUCUUGUUUGUUUCCCAUUAUUAUCCGACUCCUGUAUUUUAUUUCUCAUAUAUUAUUUGGAUUCGUGUAGAUGUAUAGUACAUUGUGAGAGUGUGACCAAAUAGAUAGUAUCACUAAGAGUUUUUUUUUUUUGGAGAAAAUCAUUUUAUUAUAUCAAUUCCUAAACUAUAAUAGAAACGUUUCACUCGUGAAUCGUUUUUUGCUUACUACUGUUUUCAAAACGUUGCAUUAUUCUAUUACCGCUUACCUUCCUUAAUCGCUAAAGAAAAUACUUGUUUCGUUUUCGAUCAUUAGUCGAAUAAGUCUUUAGAAACAUCAGCUAACGCUGUGUUUUUAUAUACGAAUGGCACAGUCAUGUAGCCCAGAAGAGUCGUGUAAUUGGGUUUUUAUAAUAAUAAGCUCAGAUCUGGUUCGUCAAAAGACUGCCAAUGCUGUAAAGAAUAGUAUUCAUCAUGUGUACGACUGUACGUGGGAGGAAGUGACUCGACAAUCAUCUACUACUAUAGUAUAGUGUUAAUAAAAUAAAGCAAUACUCCCUCUGUUUUUUAUUAUAAGUCGUUUUGAAGCUAUGCACAUAGAUUAAGAAAAUCAUUAAUUUCUUAUAUUUUCGAAACAAAAACAUCAUUAAUUAUUUACCUAACCACAAUUUAACCAAUAGAAAAAUAGAAGAUAUAUUAUCAUUGGUCAGACAACAUUAAUUACUAAUAAAUGUUACAUAAAAAACCGAAAACGACAUAUAAUUUGGAACAAAAAAGUUUCUCUAAAACGACUUAUAUUAAAAAACGGAGGGAGUAGUAAUUAUGCAAAUGGGAAUAAUCACGAACAAUUAGGAGGAAUCUCGGGAAAACCAAAGAGUUUAGCAAAGAGUUAAAACUUCCACUGCAAUUCCCGAGAGCAAAUUUUUAAAGAUACAGUUGUACUUUUUAACGGUAACUUUUAGAACCUUUGAUUAAGAUUUAGAUGAAUGCAGUUUCGCAGAGAUAGUGAUACGUGUACGGGUAGAGAUAUUGGAAGGAGCGGCGAGCGAUGGUUUUUGCCGGUCCGGGUUGAGGGCAAAAGUGGGUCCAUGUUUGUCUGACAAACUCACGUGGUCCUUCAAAGUGCCCCCCUACUGCUUGUGGACUGGACCGUCUUGUUGUUUUCUUUUGGAUUCGUUAGCAUGGUACUUCUUUUAAACUCUCAUUUUCUGUUUUUGUUAAGUUUUCUAAUUUAUGAAAAAAGUUAUUUAAACUGGAUAUAAAGUUAGAAUGGAUUAAUAACUAAGGACGUAAACAAUAAAUGCUUACAGUAGUUAGAACAAAUGAGGAAUAAGGAAAACCUCUUUUUCUCACUUUAAUUUUUUUAAAAUCAAUCAAAUUAAAUAUCUAUCUAUUUUCUUUUACCUAUAAUAUAUUUUUUUUGUUUGUUUUUCUAGUUUUCUAAUUUUCGUAUAUUUUAUUUUGUGUUCUAUUGAAGCUUUCGAAGUAUGAGAUAAUACUUUUAUAAAUAUUUUCUAGAGAUUUCAUGACUAUUCAUUUCUACUAAUCCCAAUAGUGUUAUCGCUAUUUUCUUUUUGUUUCGGAGGAUGUCAAAUUCUGGAGGUAUUGAGUGGAUUUCGUGUUCACUGGUUAAUGCUUGAUUCAUCUCGCAAGAUGGAGUAAUCUUCUUCACUUUGUUUAAGGAUUUGAGUUGUUAGGAAUCUGUUUGACCGCUUCAAAUCAGAAUCAUUAUAGUUGGGUAUGAAAUAUAAAGCUCCGUUGAAUAGAUAAUGGUUGCAACAAAAGUUUGACCCAAAAAAAAAAUGGUUGCAACAAAAGAUGUGAGUAUAUAUACAAAGAGGAAGCUAGAGUAUUACAAGUUAAUGAGUUAUAUAUAGAAAUAUUGUUAUAUAAUCAUUGAUUGAUCUUUAAUACACAGAAUGCGUUUCGACAAAUAUUCUACCCCCGAAAUCUGUCGUUGAUCUCUAGGUUUAUGCUCUGAAGACUAUAUUGAGAAUCCUGCCAUCUGGUUAUGAAGCAGAAUAAAUAAAUGGUGGUACUUAGAUGAAGCAUCCAUGUGGCGUUGGGGACAUAAAGCUUCACCACCGGUGAAGAUCCAUCACAGAGAUUUUGAAGGCGGCGAUGCUUCAGAGACCUGCUCUGAACAAGACAUAUGUUGUUGAGGUGUCGAUGGAUAAGAUUAAACGCAUAAAAAAAUAAAACAAAAAGAUGAUAAGAUUAAACGUGUGUGCGCUCACGUAUCUUAGGCUCAUCAUUUUGUUUUUUUUUUUUUUUGAAAAGGCUCAUCAUUUUGUAUGUUAUUCGGCUUUUUUUGUUUGAUACCAAAACUUUGCUUUUAUGAAUUUUUGAUACAAAAGAUGGUGGACAAAAAAAAAGUAAACAAUAGUUGACGUUACUUGUAAAUGAGUAGUUUACAGAAUUUGAAUUUCUCAUUGAUUCGGAUACUUCAGAAAUCUUAUGAAUGAAACAUGAUGUAUGUGGAUCCAAAUAAACCUUAGAAUUGUUUUUGUCCCUAAUGUUGUGUCAAAUUAGUAAGUAGUUGAUAUGAAACCACGAACACAUUUAUAUUAUCAGAUAAAUUUUGUGUAGUUACUGUAACAUGCGACAUUCAAUGAAAGAUGUAUUGGUUCUCUUGACAUAAUCGUUUGAAGUUACAGUCGUUUAGUCCAUAGUUCAUUCAUGCCUUUCGUUUCGUGACUUGCUCUUCGGUGCGGUUUAGUGCUACAAAAACAAUGUUUCAAAAUGCUGGACAACAAUGCUUAAACUUUGUUCACUGAUUAUGAUACAUGGUAGCGUGUUAUAAGAAUUUUCUCAACAAUUUAUACACACACUGUUCUAUAAAUAUUAUUAAUAAUUUAUAAACACAGAGGCCAGAGCCAAUCGAAUUUAUGGGUGAUGGUAUAACGUAGAGAUGAGCAAAUAAACUGAAUCUAAUAAAUCGAACUGAUCCGAUGAAAAUAAAUUUGAAAUAAACUGAAUCCGACAUAAAUAUCAAUGGACCUCGUUCUAAGAUGUUUUGGAUUAUGAAUUUUACAUUAAUCUAAAUUCGAAUGGAUAUCCAAAAAUAUUAAAAAAUUCAAAUCUCAAGAAAUUUUUUUACCAAAGUCAAAUUCAAUCCUGGAUAAAUACUCAAAAUACUAUUAAAUACUUAAAAUAAUUACAUGUUAGAUGAAUAAUCAACUCAUAUAGUUAAUUUAAUAUAUAUAUAGAGAUAUUUGGUCAAAGAUUAAAGAUUGUAUUUUGACAAUUUUAUAAUAUGCUUGUGUUUGAAGAUUAAACAAUUGUUUUUUUUUUGAAGUUUAAAUAAGAUUUUUUUACUUUUAUCAAGUUCAUAGUUUCUAGUUUUUAUUUCUUUAUUUUUUCUUCUUAACAAAUGAAUCAUUCACAAAGCUUUUGUUAGUAAAACUUGUUUAAAUUUGCCAAGUUUGUAAAUUAAAUUGUGUAGUUUUGAAUUACAAGCAAAUAUUUGGAUAACCAAAAUCCGAUGUAUAACCGAAUCCAAAACUAAAAUGGGUUCAACUAAGUUUACAGUGUAUAUUCGAACCAAAUCCAAAGAACUCUGAAUUAAAUCAUAACAUAACUUUUAAAAUAUCCAAAUGGAGUCAAAUUUUCAUGUCUCCAUAAAAAUCGAAACCCAAAUAAAUUCAAACCGAACCCUAUUGGACAUAUGAGUAUCCAUACCUAUUAUAAUGCAUACCAACAUAAACCGUUAAUUAUACUCUUUCCGUUUUGAUAAGAUAAAUGUUUUCGACUUUUUUUUGUUUCAAAAUGAUAAUUUCAAAAUGUUAAUCUUUCAUGAUGAUUUAUGAGUCAAAUACUCCCUCCGUUUCAUUAAGAUAGAAGUUUUAGAAAAAAAUUUGUUUCACAAAAAUAAUUUUUUUUUAUGUUUUUAAUACAAAAAUUGUAAAUUUCAAUAAAAUUAACUGAAAUUAUUGAAAUACUAUUGGUUGAAAAGCAUUGAAAUUCGAUAAUUCCAAAAAACGAUACAUGAUUAAUGUGUUUUCUUAAUAUGUGUGAAAACAUCACAACAUCUAUCUUUAAGAAACGGAGGCAAUACUAAAUUGUAAAUUUCUGAUUUUGUUGUGUUAUUAAAAUUUUAUUGGUUUGAAUUAUAAAAAUAUGUAAUCUGCAUUUAUAAUUAAAUUGUAGUAUAUUUUGUAACAUGUGUGAAGAACCAUGAUCAGAGUAAUGAAUAAUGCAAAACAUUGCUUCUCAACUCAGUCUUGAAGUCUAGAAUUGCUUACAUUUGGAUCGGGUUUGUUACUAAUAGCCAGGUUUAUGAAGAAGUACAUGUUUCUCUCUCUCUGUAGCUCAGUUUUCCAACAAAUUCACUAGGAAGAGUAAAUGUUAUUUUUGAUCUGUUGUGCGCUUCAUGGCUCUUCUUACCAGGAGAAUUCUUUAAGGCCACACACCUCCAUACAUAUUCUUGCUGGUGAGUCUUUGGACUGGUGAUCUCGGAGCUCUUACUGCUCGCAAAAGACAGUAUGUUCCAUCUGCUGAUCAGGACUCUCUCAUAUGGCGUCUUUGGUUAACUAAAUCUCUGUUUAUUUCGUGAGGUUGUGCCGACAAGAAAAGUAAAGAGGUCCUUAUAAUAUCGCCACUAAAGGAAUCAUUUCAGAUAUAGCUCAUGCCCUCUUCAACGUGGCAGAGGAGACAUAAGUUAAUAUACACUAAGAUAUGUGUUUAAUAACAAGAGAUUAACAUUAGCUCUACAGGCUUUCUGUGUAGAUAUAGUGGAAGUUAAAUGAAUGACAAUUUUGACCCAAGAAAGAAAAGAGAAAAGGAUAUGACACUCUUCUACGGGUGGGAUAUCAGUAAAUAUUUGAAGAGAGGUUCCAUUGCUUGGCGAUGUUUUGGAUUUGACCCUCCUCUGCAAUUUAACAAAGAACCACUAUAGAUAUGGAGGUUUCCAUAAAUUUGAGUUUAAAAAUAAUGAUCCUGCUGUAUCUAAACAUAUCAUACUCGUUUGUUAGUUCAAGGCAAAAGCUCCUCUGUUACCACAUCAUAUAUCCGUGUAAUGACCUUUUUUCAUGUUUUCUUUACAAGACCCAAACCUAUACUAUGUUGUCAAUGAUACAAGCUGAGCACCGGAAAGAAACUUGGGUCAAUGACCCAGUUUCCAGAGUCCAUUUGCUUGUCAUGGCUGAUUCAGCUACAUACCAGUGACUUUCACAAAAGAUGGAUAAGAAGAGAAGAGGUGAGCUCUUGCUGCACCUUAGGCUACUUGGCUGUCAAGGAGACUAAGUAGCCAACAACUGCUGUAGCAGUUCCAAGGAUCCCACCCACAAUGACCUGAUGACACAUAAAACAGAUAUGGUCUAACAUGAAAGCCAUC
rnacentral:lncRNA from 1 species